AACGAACGCUGGCGGCAGGCUUAACACAUGCAAGUCGAACGCAUGCCUUCGGGCAUGCGUGUCAGGCGGGUGAGUAACGCGUGGGAACCUACCCCUUGGUACGGGAUAGCUCCGGGAAACUGGAGAUAAUACCGUAUGUUUCCUGCGGGUCAAAGCUUCAUCGCCAAGGUAUGGGGCCGCGUCGGGUUAGCUCGGUGGUGGGGUAUCGGCCUACCAAGGCGACGAUCCGUAGCUGGUCUACGGCGAUGAGCAGCCACCUUGGGUCUGAGACACGGCGCAAACUCCUACGGGAGGCAGCAGGGGGGAAUAUGGGACACUGGGCGCGAGACGGAGGCAGCCAGGCCGCGUGAGUGAUGAAGGCCCGAGGGUUGUAAAGCUCUUUCAACGGUGACGAUAAUGACGGUAACCGGAGAAGAAGCCCCGGCUAACUUCGUG
rnacentral:rRNA from 1 species